CAUCUUAUAAUUCCAUCUCCUUAGAUCUCUUCCCAAAU
rnacentral:sRNA from 1 species